rnacentral:rRNA from 1 species
UAUCCGGAUUUAUUGGGUUUAAAGGGAGCGUAGGCGGGUGCUUAAGUCAGUUGUGAAAGUUUGCGGCUCAACCGUAAAAUUGCAGUUGAUACUGGGCGCCUUGAGUGCAGCAUAGGUAGGCGGAAUUCGUGGUGUAGCGGUGAAAUGCUUAGAUAUCACGAAGAACUCCGAUUGCGAAGGCAGCUUACUGGACUGUAACUGACGCUGAUGCUCGAAAGUGUGGGUAUCAAACAGGAUUAGAUACCCUGGUGGUCCACACAGUAAACGAUGAAUACUCGCUGUUGGCGAUACACAGUCAGCGGCCAAGCGAAAGCAUUAAGUAUUCCACCUGGGGAGUACGCCGGCAACGGUGAAACUCAAAGGAAUUGACGGGGGCCCGCACAAGCGGAGGAACAUGUGGUUUAAUUCGAUGAUACGCGAGGAACCUUACCCGGGCUUAAAUUGCAGCGGAAUGUAGUGGAAACAUUACAGCCUUCGGGCCGCUGUGAAGGUGCUGCAUGGUUGUCGUCAGCUCGUGCCGUGAGGUGUCGGCUUAGAGUGCCAUAACGAGCGCACCCUUAUCUAUAGUUACUAUCAGGUCAUGCUGAGGACUCUAUGGAAACUGCCGUCGUAAGAUGUGAGAAGGUGGGG